AUACGUAGGGAGCGAGCGUUGUCCGGAAUUACUGGGUGUAAAGGGUGCGUAGGCGGGACGGCAAGUCAGAUGUGAAAUACCGGGGCUCAACCCCGGGGCUGCAUUUGAAACUGUCGUUCUUGAGUGAGGUGGAGGUAAGCGGAAUUCCUAGUGUAGCGGUGAAAUGCGUAGAUAUUAGGAGGAACAUCGGUGGCGAAGGCGGCUUACUGGGCCUUUACUGACGCUGAGGCACGAAAGCGUGGGGAGCAAACAGGAUUAGAUACCCUGGUAGUCCACGCUGUAAACGAUGAUGACUAGGUGUGGGGGGACUGAACCCUUCCGUGCCGCAGUUAACACAAUAAGUCAUCCACCUGGGGAGUACGGCCGCAAGGUUGAAACUCAAAUGAAUUGACGGGG
rnacentral:rRNA from 1 species